GACGAACGCUGGCGGCGUGCUUAACACAUGCAAGUCGAACGGUAAGGCCUUCGGGUACACGAGUGGCGAACGGGUGAGUAACACGUGGGUGAUCUGCCCUGCACUUUGGGAUAAGCCUGGGAAACUGGGUCUAAUACCGGAUAGGACUACGCACUGCGUGGUGUGUGGUGGAAAGCUUUUGCGGUGUGGGAUGGGCCCGCGGCCUAUCAGCUUGUUGGUGGGGUGAUGGCCUACCAAGGCGACGACGGGUAGCCGGCCUGAGAGGGUGUCCGGCCACACUGGGACUGAGAUACGGCCCAGACUCCUACGGGAGGCAGCAGUGGGGAAUAUUGCACAAUGGGCGCAAGCCUGAUGCAGCGACGCCGCGUGGGGGAUGACGGCCUUCGGGUUGUAAACCUCUUUCAGCACAGACGAAGCGCGAGUGACGGUAUGUGCAGAAGAAGGACCGGCCAACUACGUGCCAGCCGCCGCAGUAA
rnacentral:rRNA from 1 species